AUUUUGAUGAAGUGUGUGGAGAUUGUUUUGCAGGGUAUUUCAAGACUUCGAGACUCCAUGUCAUGUCCUAAGUCAUAGAGUCUGUAUUAGGAUAUUAAAAAUGUAAUUUUGUUGGAUUGAUCACGCAGAAGGUUGUUGUUUGGUGAUUGCGAUAACCUUCUUAUUUUUGUCUCUGGAUAAAGCAUUGUAAAUUCUUUUUGUAUUUUGUCACGAAAUCGCCAAAGGGGGAGAUUGUUAAGGAUUUUAUAAGUUGGCGGAUUUCGUGAAGGGUUUGGAUAGAGUCUCGAAAAAUUAGAAGAUGAAGAUUGACGAAAAGAAUUGAAGUUUUAUGAUCAAAGACCCUUGAGAACUCAGGUAUGAUUAGAAACAAUUUGUGGUGAAGUUUUCAUUAUUAAAAGAUGUUUAGAAGACUUGGUUUUCUUUUUAUUUAUUCAAAAAUUUUCUGAAAAAAUCAGGGGUUAGGGACCGGUCCUUGAUCAGAGGGACCGGACCCAUCAAGCUUCUCUGCGUAGAAGUUUUGGGAGACCGGUCUCUGG
rnacentral:lncRNA from 1 species